AGUCAAUUCAUUUCACAUAAACCCGCUAACUACUCUACACUCUGGCGGCAAUGGAAAAACAAAAAACUCUCAAAAAUGAAGAAAGCCCUAAGCAUACAGCAGAACCACGGCCAACGACGGAACCGCAACUCACAAUCGCUGCAUCAUUCGGUGAAAACAAUACCUUGGAUUAUGGAAUGUGAUCCAAAAGCAGAGAGGAUCAAACCCGCAGUUGUGGUUAUCGGGAACAGAUGCAAAAGCUUGUUUCAACUAGAGGUAGAUAAGUGUUCUAUGGGUUUAUCACCAAGUGGUAGUUUUUGUUACAAACUGCAUUGCCUAUAUUUAAUUUUGGCGACGAGGAACUAUUGGGUUUAUCACCUAGUGCCUGUUCUUUUCAAUGACACUAUCAGAGCCAAUAUUGCAUACGGAAAAGGAGAUGUAUCAGAGGCCGAGAUUAUAGCUGCAGCAUAAUCGGCAAAUUCUCACAAGUUUUUUAGUAGUUUGCAGAAGAACUGAUGUAUCCAUGGGACACACAUUGAUGACUCUUUACAGGAAAUGCAAAAAAAGUCUGCCAAAAAAUCGUGUCAAACACCUGUACCCAACUUUGGUGAAUUUCUGAUUCUUGGUGCCAUUCUAUUCAUAGCUUGAAAUUGCAUGACUUGCAAAUUUUGAAUAUAUAAACUCGGUGUCAUCAGAGCUUCUUUCCUCAAAAUUUGAUUGAUCAAGUCGAGGCUCCAUUGCUUUUGUUGAAUGCUGCUUUUGAUGCAUGACAGAUAGAUUAUAGCUCCUGCACCAAUAUCAGCAGCAGCAAAAAAAGGCUAAAGACCGCACGAAGAUAUCAAUUUUCUAAGAUCAUUGGAAGAGGUUAAAUCAUUGGAAGGAAUCUGGUGAGGGAUGAUGCCAGGCUAAGAAAACAUUCUGAUCUUGCGCGUUUGGAAAAUGUGCAUCAAGAGUAUUUAUAAAGGCUGGAUUGAUAAUAGAAUUUGUCCCAAAUCCAUUGCAAUUCUGCUGCUGGUUUAUAGAAGCUGAUGAACUUGUUUCUUCCUCAGAAUCAGUUUGAUAAAACUUAACUGGAACUGCAUUAGGCUGGUGAGGAAAAUUGUUGGGCUGAUGAGUAAAAUUUGUUGGCAUGAAAUUAUUUGGAACAACAUGAAGAGUAGAAGCAUCAUAAGCUUCAAAAUCAAACUCUGAAGAUUCAUUUGAAAUUUGCUGAUGAGUAAAAUUUGUUGGCAUGGGAACAACAUGAAGAGUAGAAGCAUCAUAAGCUUCAAAAUCAAACUCUGAAGAUUCAUUUGAAAUUUGCUGAUGAGUAAAAUUUGUUGGCAUGGGAACAACAUGAAGAGUAGAAACAUCAUAAGCUUCAAAAUCAAACUCUGAAGAUUCAUUUGAAAUUUUUGAUUCUGUAGUAGCUUCUGCAGUUUUGUUCUGUUUUCUUUGUUUCUUUGUCUCUCCUCCUCUCUUCAAUUUGUUUCUAUAUUUCUGCAUAUCAAACAUAUGUAACAAUAUAAAUUAUAGAUCAAAGACACAAAUUAAAUGCAACUGUAUUAAAUAGUGUACAAUUUAUUGUUUUGAUUUUAUAAUUAAUGGAAACAAGAUUGUAAUCUAUGUUUCAGAAUAAGAGUUGAAGACACUGGUCCAUAAAUUUAAAGGGUUAGUGCAAUGGGAACUAUGUAACA